CUCCGAAAUCAAUACUGUAAUUAAGCAACCGUUUCUUGCGAAUAUCAGUUUCCAAUUUCCAAUCAACAACGGGUAGAUCUAAAGGACAUAGACGAACACAUACUUCACAAACAAUACAUUUAUCAAAUUCAAAAUGGAUUCGACCGCUGAAACGCUCCGCGGUGAUUAAUUUUUCAUAAGGAUAUUGAAAAGUUACAGGUAAACGAUUUGCGGAGAUAAAGUAAUCAUUAAACUUUAUCUUUUAAUAUCUGCCAAAUAUUUUUUUGUGAUUCUGAUCCUUUAUCAUCAUAACUUAUUUUGUUAGAACUAAAAUUUAUAUCUGGAGUUCCUUUUUUAUUUUCUUUUGUAAUUUUUUCUAUUUGAUUUAUGAUUGUAUUUGUUCUAUCAGUUAGAUCUUGCAUUUUUUUUUCUGUUAAUGAAUAAUUUGUCCAACCCUGAGAUAUAAUUUGAAUCGACGAUUCAUGAAUCAUCCGAUUACCAAUUAUCGAAUCUUUUUUAGUUUCACUCAAUUCAUAUACUUCUAUUUCUCUCAAUCCAAAUCCAAAAAAUAUAAUUGGGUUUAUUUUUGAGAGUUCUUUUAUUAUUUCUUUUAUAAACAGAAUGCUUUUAAUGAUCCAUUUUUUUGUUUCUUUUGAGACAUUUAGAAACAAUUUUUUUUGUUCUUUUAAAAUUAUUAGAAUUAUAAAACAUUUAUUUUUCAAUUUUUUAAAUUUUUUUUUUAGUUCUUUAAAAAUGGGUUCAAAAAAUGAAAGUUUUUUUCUGGGAGAACCAAAGGGUAGUUCAGUUUCCAUUCCAAAAACUGUUAAAAUGUUAGAUUAAUCCGUAAGUCACAUUAUUUUGUUACAAUUAAAUUUAUUUUCUUUUUAAUGUGGCACACAUAGGAUUUGGUCUUGUAUAUAAAUUCUUGAAUGAUAACAGAUCAUGUGGAAUGUUGUGCAAUGUUCCUGUUCAAUGUUUUAGUUCUAGUAAGCGCAUUGAAGGUUAUCAUUUUUUGUUUUGGAGGUUUUAAAGUUUGCAUGACAACUUACAGGUGCUGCCUUGAAAAAAAUGGAGAAUGAAAAGGGAAUAAUCGCAUGAGGAUUAGUUGGCACCCAAUGCUCGAAUUGGAAAGCCACCAGGAUCACGAGGAUUAUUUGGAAGUUAACAGCUACAUCAUUUCGUUUGCAUAAUAGGUAGGAUAAAAGUGUACAACUCCAUACCAUUCACUUGAAGUUUAUGAUAUGCAGAAUGUGAUUUUUACUAGAAAGAUGGUUCUAUGAUAUAAUAUUAACAAUGUACUUCUAUGACGUAGUAUUAACAGUGUACUUUUUUUUUCUUUUCUUGUAGAGGUAUCUUGUUAUUACUAGUAUUCUUCCCUGCUGGGGCUGGCAAGACAAUGCUGAUCAGUGAUGCUGAGAAAGUUUAUGCAUUGGGAAAGGACUGAAGAUGGUUCUAUAACAUAGUAAUAACAAGAUAGUUCUAUGAGUUGAGGCCCAAAAAAGUCCUUGGUUAAGCCCAAAUAAGUUUUCGGUCCAAUAUGAUACUGUAUUAAGAAAAGUCACAUAUCGGAAUACACGAAGGCUCGUCAUAUACAAGUCAGAGUCCACAUGCCAUGCUAAAUAAAUAAUUUGUCAUGCCAAGGACUGAGAUAAUAUUAUAAAAUACAAGCUCAUGCUAAACUAAGCACCGUGUCCCUCUUUAUGGACGAUAAAAUUGAAGCACGCCAAGCGACACGCCACGCCAAGCAAGGAAUUAUUAUUCCGCACCCAAUCACGCCACAAGCUUAAGUGGGCCCCAAGCCACUCAAAUACCUAGGGCUUGCUUGAGUGAGUUGUGGUAUGGAUGGUAAUAAAUUGUCAUAAGGCCCGUUGAUAGGCCGAGAAAUGGAAGUCCCGGGUUGCUUGGGAGCCUCGGGACUCAAGCCCAUUUCAUAGGCCCAAACAUGUGGGUGAGCACAAGAGAGAAAAGAAUAGCCCAUCACUCCAAACAAAAAUAGCCCAAUCAAAAUAGCCUAUUGACUCAACCAAAAAGCCCAAAUGUUUGAUAAAGAAAUCCCACUUACUUAAUGAAUCACCUUUGCCCAUACAAUUACCAUAAUGAGCUAUAAAAGCCCCAACACUUGUCUGGAAAAACAAAAGCCACGAAGGGGAAGUCUGAAGGUCUAUUAUACAAAGUUGCUGGGAUGUUCCAGCAAAUGAGAAGGGAGCAAGUUUGAAGCAAAAGACACCCAAGGGACCAAACGAUAUUUGCGUGCAGAGGAGAACCGCUCUUUGAACCAGCAUAUAUGCCCAUUCUCUUUCCCUCAUCAGACCUAGCCAUAGAAAAAGGAAGGAAAAGGAAGGAAGAAGAUGGCUGGAAAUAGGAAUUCUCCACAAAGGCGGCUGCGGGAAGAGCAUUGAGCUCCCAAAAAUCCCGGAUUUUGUGAUAUUGGGUAGAUGGGAUUUUUGCUAGAUUAGGAUAAGUCAAAGAAAUGGAGGAGAAAUGAAGGAAAAAGCUUGGCCAAAUUGGAUGGAAACCAUUAGGGUUUCUUGGAAAAAGAUAGCUUCUAGCAGCUAUAAAAGGACGCCUCUUCUA
rnacentral:lncRNA from 1 species